rnacentral:rRNA from 1 species
GAGCGAACGCUGGCGGCAGGCCUAACACAUGCAAGUCGAACGAACCUUUCGGGGUUAGUGGCGGACGGGUGAGUAACACGUGGGAACGUGCCUUUAGGUUCGGAAUAACUCAGGGAAACUUGUGCUAAUACCGAAUGUGCCCUUCGGGGGAAAGAUUUAUCGCCUUUAGAGCGGCCCGCGUCUGAUUAGCUAGUUGGUUGAGGUAAUGGCUCACCAAGGCGACGAUCAGUAGCUGGUCUGAGAGGAUGAUCAGCCACAUUGGGACUGAGACACGGCCCAAACUCCUACGGGAGGCAGCAGUGGGGAAUCUUGCGCAAUGGGCGAAAGCCUGACGCAGCCAUGCCGCGUGAAUGAUGAAGGUCUUAGGAUUGUAAAAUUCUUUCACCGGGGACGAUAAUGACGGUACCCGGAGAAGAAGCCCCGGCUAACUUCGUG